AAGUUGUCAUGUAAUUUUCUUUCCCUAAGGUUCUUUGAAGUGUUUUAAGACAAACUUGAGUACCUUAAUUCAAGAUAAGUCAAUUUUGACGCUCAACUUGAGGGAAGAAGAUUGAGAGGUGAGUUAAAUACGAGAGAAUUAUGAGUGAAUGGUAUUUCGCUACUAAUUUUUUCUUGUAGGGAUUUCAUAAUAUCUCAACCAAGCGAGAAAUAAUAGUCCAGCAUAUCU
rnacentral:lncRNA from 1 species